CUUAUCAUUAGCCACUCAAUUAAUUGAAAACAGAGCCAAUUCAGACCUCAAUAGGCCAAAUAAAAAUAUAUUCAGACACAUGAAACAACCAAGUAUAACAAAAAGUUGGAAAAAGUAGCUUUUUAUUUGCAAAAUGAUGGCAUAUUUACCAUCCCAUACAAAUCCAUAUUCAAACAAUUUUAUAAUAAACAAUAAUGUAACAUUUCUUUCAUCAAACGAUGAGGACACAGAUUGUCAGGAGAAAAUUGUUGUCUUCUAGACGGAAAUAUUUAUCGGUUCUCGGAGUAUCCUUUCCAUCUGUUGUGCCCUAGUCCUUAUAGACAUGUCAAAGACUUUUUGGCUGAAUUCCAGCACUAUACCACCAAGUAUGCUUGGAUCAAUCUAAAAUACAAAACCAAAGUGUAAAGCUUUAACUUAGAAGAGGCACGUGAAUAUACGGCAUAUAAUGUGAUAAUGGGAUAAGAGGAGCUAAUCUUGAUUAGAUUUGAGUUUAAAAAAAUAAAAAAUUGACUAUUUAUGAUGAGAGUUAGGCAUGUAUGAAUAUAUUUUUUAAUAUACCUUCUGUUCAAGCUUAACUUUUGCCCCAGAACCUAACAUUUCCUGAACAGUUUGCUUCAAUGCGUUCUCUUCCUCAGCGGGAAGUGGCUGGAAUGAAAAAGAAUAUGGGAAGUUACGUAAUGUAGAAAUUACUAUUUAAUGAAAAGACAAUGCUUAAAUAAAUAACGAAAGCAUUGAAAUGAAUGUGAGCUUUUAGACAUCGUACAAUAAAAAACAUGCAGCAAACAAGUUUUACAGCAAUAACACACACACAUCAUAUAUAUAGUGAUAGAGCAUAUCUUAAGAGUAAGAGGAGUAAAUCUUGGCAUGUAGCAAUACAUGGAUGGUAGUUUAGGAAACUGAAGGAUGUGAUAAAUAAUGAGAAUAGGGGAGAGGAUAAACCAGGUAUGGUAUAGUAGAAAAGAGAUGCAGUUGAAUUUAAUUUCUAUUGAUUAUUUUGAAUGAAUAAUUGAUUGAGACAAGGACAUAUUGAAAUAUUUGACAAAUUAUAUAUAUGAAAUAGUGACUCUCCAAGUCUUUAUUAAUAAUAAAAGAAUUGAAGAUAAGUAUUAUGUCAACCAAAGUGAUUCACAUCAUAAUAUCAAAUGUAAUCAUCCUUUUACAAAAAAUUAAUUUUUUAAACAAAUUUCUGCAUUUAAUAGAGUAUAAUAUGUGAUAAGAUGCACUAAUUUCAUAAAUAAGCUAGCCAUCAAAGAAGUACAACUUACAAAAACAGUGGUCACAAUUGCUUUCACUUCUCCCUUGUAUGCCAUUGCCAACUCCGCAAACCUCUUUGCAAUGAGCUCUACGUGUUUAAGCCUCCCAUUCACAGCAAGGAGAGCUUUAAAACAAGUGAACUAAUCAGCACAUUGAUGUUAUAGGUUUUAAAUAAAGAGGGGGAAAAGAAAAAAAAGAAUAAAGACACUGGGUUAAUACAAUACUAUAGUUUCAUGUAUGUAAAUGGAUAAAUAUUCCAAAAAAAAAAAUACUAAACACUAACCCCAGUUUAUGCUAAUACAAAACAAAAAAGUCCUCAUUAAAAAACAAACCAUAAUAACAACAGAAAUAUGGAAACAAGUCUUAAGAGAUAGUCCAAGAUAGUCUAAGAUAAGAACUAAUCAUAUGAGAUAGUUUAAGGUACUCUAAGAUAUAUCAACAUAUUUUAAUAUCUUCUACCGCAUUACCUUAAACUAAAGCUGACUAAGCUCUUAGCGAGCACCCUUUGAAAGAGAAAAGUAAGCAAAUAAUAUAGUUUGAUGCUUAAGAUUGUCAGGGCCAGGUACAUCUGGAACAACAGUCAAGACCAAAUUGAAACUACAAAAAAAGCUGGCCAGACAAGAUUUGUGAAAAAGAAAAGUGCCAAACUGCAAUUGAAACGAAACCAGUGAAAAAACUGCAACAGAGACAAUGGUGCCAAACAGCAACCACGACAAAGCCGCAGCCAAGCCACAACGAAGACAAAACCCGUGUCAAACCCCAAAUGAGACAAUACCAGUAUCAAACAGCAACUGAAACAAAACUUGUGCAAAACCACAAGUGAAACAAAACCAAUGACAAACCGAGUCUUAGAUAUUCUGAACAACCAAAAAGAAAAUACAAUGGAGGGAGUUUCAACACACCAGAAAGAUGACAAGUGAGGAAAAAAUAUGAACAAAACAGAAAAGAUGACAAGGCAGAUGAGAGAAUUUGAACAUGUGAUGACACAGGGGAGGAAAGUUUCAAAACAAGGCAGAUGUGUGACAUCACAGUGGGGAGCUUCAAAACCCAGAAAACUUGUUCAAACUCAAAGAAAGAGAAAGCCAAGUGUGUGAACGACUGUCAGGAAAAUAGAGUUUCAAAUUUUAGUGGGGUUUCAGACUUAGGUGAACUACCAAUAAAAUAGUAACAGGAUAAGUCACAUGAUGGGACGAUGUGAUACCAUGUUGAAGUUAUAGGAUUCUAUGUUGUAGAAUUCUUCACAAGGGAAGAGAGAGAAUGAAGUCUUAGAACUAUGACUAUGGUAUGAUAUUAUUGAUGACUAUGAUUUCAUACAAAAAGAUUAAACACUAACCCUUACACUAAUACAAGACUCCAAAUCCAAUUAAAUAGGGAAACAAAUCAUGAUAAAAACAAGAAAUACUAAAAGUAAUUUGUGUAGAUGGUCAAAGAUACCCUAAGAUUAAACUGACCGUGUACAAGAUAAUCAAUAUAAUAUAUCAAGAUGUUAUCAGAUAUUUUCACAUCUUAUAAGAUAUGAAUAUUUUCGUAUCUUAUAACACAAAAAUACUUUAUUGUACUAGAGAAAUAGUUAAGUCCUGCUUUAAGGAUAAUUGUGUAACUAGGAGACUAAUAGUGUUCCAACUUCCAAGACAAUGAGAACAAAACAUCCAAAUACAAUGACAUUACAUACGGUAGACUAUUAUAUUAUUUUUUUUGAACAGGCUAGACUAUUAUAUUAUUAUUAUUGAAUGACCAUGUAUACAUUCUAAGUAGGUGCAAAAGAAAAGAAAAAAAAAGUCUGAAUCACCACAUAUGUGAAUUCUUGUAUGCAGCAGGUUUCUAACACAAACUAUUGAUCUGCGGAUUAAGGAAUACAUAAUCCAGUAUAAUAUAUGAAGCCCGUUGAUACACACAGUUGAGUCCUAUGACUGCAAACAGUAUUAUAGGAUUACAAUAUACGACACCACAUUUGUUAUUAUUAUAACAGGAGCCCUUUCCAUUUUUAUGCAAUGCAUCAAUGGAUUGAAAUUGAAUUAUUUAAUGCUACUAAACUUGAUGGUAAAUUAUAUUUAAAGAGCUCCGUUUCAUUUUUAUGCAAUGCAUCAAUGGAUUGAAUUAGUUAAUGGUACUAGACUAGAUGGUAAAAUAAAUUUAAAAAUAGCUCCAACUUCAAGUAACAGUAUAUCUAUAGCAAGUGCUAGACGACUGAAAGAAAAACAAAUUAACAUUUAUGAACAGGAGAAAAUUGUUGAAAAUGAAUAUUUUUCGGCAUUUUAUAUCCCUUAAUUUAGUUGAUAUUUAAAUUGGAAAUAAAUUUUAUCAAAACAUUUGAGGUAAAUGGGUGAUAAGGACAGUAAAUUGAAGAAACAUAGAUAACCCAGUGAAAUAUGUGAGCUCUUCACAAGCAGAAUUGGCUCCAAUAAUUCUAAUGUACUCACAUAACAUGACAAAAUAAAGACAUAAAUGAAAGCAAGGGAAACUUCGAGUAGAAAAUUAAAAAAUGGAUACAGAGAAAUGUAGGACAAUGCUAUGUAAUAGAGGCUAUGAGGGGAAAAAUCAUUCACAUCCAUUUAAGGGUUGAUGAGACAGCAGGAAAUUCACAUGUAUCAUUCCAGUGGAUUACAUAUCAGAACAGGUAACUUGCCCCUUUAGAUUGAGGUUUGUGUGAUAUUUGUGACUAGAAAUCAACCUAGAGAAGGCUAUUAUUCCAGUUCUAAGUUAGAAUAUAAGUUAAUAACUAGAUCAAUUUUUUACAGAUUAUUAGCAUUCCUGAAGGGCACCAAUUAAAACAUAAAUUUCCUGAAACUUGUUUGAAGGAUCAUUUUGUUGUGCAAGAAACGAUAAACCAAAGAGGCUCAAAAUGCAAUAAAGCCAUCUAAUCAAUCUUUGAAAACACUCUACUCAUCCCACCCCAUUCUAUAAUAUACACUUAUACCUUUGAAUUGCGAGCAUAUAUAUUUUUUCUAUGGAAAAUAAAACCAAUGUCAGAAGUUUGUAAUUAACAUUAGAUCCCUCUAUUGCAUCAGAAAGUGAAUGUAGAUGCUUACAUCAUUGACGUGCAGUUUCUUUUUGCAUUAAAGAAAACUAAAAUGUAACAAUUUCUCUAACCCAAGCAUAUAAUAAAAUUAUAAUAUUUCAAGUUUUAACUUACUUUAGCAACAUAAUUGAAACAAUAAUCUAAUUAAAACAAUACCAUAAUAAGUAAAAACCUAUCUUACCAAGGAAGUUCUUUGUAGUCUCAGAAAACUUGGCUUUGCUGGCAAUAUCCUCGAUGGUUUUUAAUCUGACAUCCUUUUUUACAGAUAUGUCCUUAAUGAACUGUGAAGUUAUCUUGCUACCCUUUACCAUUUCAACGAACUGAAGAAGCUCUGAAUCAACCUUCUCAACUGCAUUAGCUUUCACUGCUGCAAUAUACAAAGCAGAAGCAUAGUUUCCUGAACCUCCAAACAUAGCGAUAGGGACCUAAAACAACAAUUAAAAAACAAGACCGAUAAAAAUCAAUCCAAUAAAAAGAACUAUAUGGUAAAACAAAAUUAACAAACAUAAAUUAAAAAAUCAAUAAACAACUACUGAGCCAGGAGGAAAAAAUAUAAUGAUUACCUUAAUCUUGGCUUCCCUUGCCCCUGGUACAUCAGCAUAAUUUCUGGUGGCCUGCAUAAGAUGAAAAUGAAACACAUUAUUACCAUGAAACAAUUGCAUCCAACAACAUAAAAAGCUGAAAUAUGACACAGACAACUAGAUACAUACAGUGUGCAAGAAUCACUCUUGAAAGCUCAAAACAGUUGACAUAAUUAUACUAUGAGAAUGCAAGUUCAUACACUUCAAUCUCAUGUCCAAGUGCAACAACAACAAUAACAAAACACUACAACUGGUAGAAAACAUAUUUCUAUCGUAAACAAAUGACCAAGUUAAAAAGGGCCAUUUCACACACAACCACUCGUAAAAAUGGAGGCAAAAAAAAUAAUAAUAUAUCGGCAGAGAAAACAUUUUCCAACAAAAAUGGAUCACCAAUUUAAUCCUUCCUAUGCAUAAAAGGGGUCAUUUCACAAACAACCAUACAUAAAAAUCGGUAAUAAGAAAUUUAAUUUUUCCAGAAAAUACAAGUUCUAAAUAUAAGCCAUUUGAUCAAUGUUAAAAAAAAUGUAAAUUUUGAAAACUAAAAUAUAUAAUAUCAAGUAGAAAAAAUUUCCCAGAAAAAAUGGAUCCCCAAUUUAAUACAUUAGGUCAUUUCUCAAACAACCACUCAUAAAAAUCAAAAUCAAAUUCUAAAUCUGACCCAUUUGAUCAAUAGGUAAAAAAAUUGCAAAUUUCAAAGCUUAAACGAUCUACGAGUAUAAUAAACAUUGAUUUAAUAAUUUGAAUCAAAAAUCAAAUGAUAAUCGAUAGCGUUGAAUAAGAGAUUGAAAUUGAGAUUGACCUGAGAAAUGGCAGGGGCAAUGAGAGAGCGUUGAAGAGUGGAUCUCUGAGAAGAAAGAAGCCCCAAUUUGUUGCAGAGAGAGAUCCCUGAUUUGACUCGGCCGUACAGUGCCAUCACAGCGAUUUGAAACCCUAAUUUUCUGUUUUGUGAAG
rnacentral:lncRNA from 1 species